UGGGGAAUAUUGGACAAUGGGCGAAAGCCUGAUCCAGCAAUACCGCGUGAAUGAUGAAGGCCUUAGGGUUGUAAAGUUCUUUUAGUUGGAAAGAUAAUGACGGUACCAACAGAAAAAGCCCCGGCUAACUCCGUGCCAGCAGCCGCGGUAAGACGGAGGGGGCUAGCGUUGUUCGGAAUUACUGGGCGUAAAGGGCGCGUAGGCGGAUUAGUAAGUUGGGAGUGAAAGCCCGGGGCUUAACCUCGGAACUGCUUUCAAAACUGCUAGUCUUGAGUGAAGUAGGGGAUGAUGGAAUUCCUAGUGUAGAGGUGAAAUUCUUAGAUAUUAGGAGGAACACCGGUGGCGAAGGCGGUCAUCUGGACUUCAACUGACGCUGAGGCGCGAAAGCGUGGGGAGCAAA
rnacentral:rRNA from 1 species